rnacentral:rRNA from 1 species
GCAGUGGGGAAUUUUGGACAAUGGGCGCAAGCCUGAUCCAGCAAUGCCGCGUGCAGGAUGAAGGCCUUCGGGUUGUAAACUGCUUUUGUACGGAACGAAACGGUGAGCUCUAAUACAGUUUGCUAAUGACGGUACCGUAAGAAUAAGCACCGGCUAACUACGUGCCAGCAGCCGCGGUAAUACGUAGGGUGCGAGCGUUAAUCGGAAUUACUGGGCGUAAAGCGUGCGCAGGCGGUGAUGUAAGACAGAUGUGAAAUGCCCGGGCUCAACCUGGGACCUGCAUUUGUGACUGCAUCGCUAGAGUACGGUAGAGGGGGAUGGAAUUCCGCGUGUAGCAGUGAAAUGCGUAGAUAUGCGGAGGAACACCGAUGGCGAAGGCAAUCCCCUGGACCUGUACUGACGCUCAUGCACGAAAGCGUGGGGAGCAAACAGGAUUAGAUACCCUGGUAGUCCACGCCCUAAACGAUGUCAACUGGUUGUUGGGUCUUCACUGACUCAGUAACGAAGCUAACGCGUGAAG